GACGAACGCUGGCGGCGUGCCUAAUACAUGCAAGUCGAACGCAGUGGGGACGGGUGAGUAACACGUGGGUAACCUCCCAUCAGAGGGGAUAACACUUGGAAACAGGUGCUACACCGAAAAUGAUGGAUGGACCCGCGGUGCAUGAGCUAGUUGGUGAGGUAACGGCUCACCAAGGCAACGAUGCCUAGCCGACCUGAGAGGGGGAUCGGCGACACGGGAACUGAGACACGGCCCAGACUCCUACGGGAGGCAGCAGUAGGUAAUCUGCGGGAAUGGGCGAAAGUCUGACCGAGCAACGCCGCGUGAGUGAAGCGGGUUUUCGGAUCGUAAAGCUCUGUUGUUAGAGAAGCGGUAUCUAACCAGAAAGCCACGGCUAACUACGUGCCAGCAGCCGCGGUAAUUC
rnacentral:rRNA from 1 species